rnacentral:rRNA from 1 species
UACGGAGGAUUCAAGCGUUAUCCGGAUUUAUUGGGUUUAAAGGGUGCGUAGGCGGUCGGAUAAGUUAGAGGUGAAAUCCCGGGGCUCAACUUCGGAAUUGCCUCUGAUACUGUUCGGCUAGAGAGUAGUUGCGGUAGGCGGAAUGUAUGGUGUAGCGGUGAAAUGCUUAGAGAUCAUACAGAACACUGAUUGCGAAGGCAGCUUACCAAGCUACUUCUGACGUUGAGGCACGAAAGCGUGGGGAGCAAACAGG